rnacentral:ncRNA from 22 species
GCGAAAAGAAUUUUCCGGCGUGGGACGCCCCGGUCAUUCGGGGCGGUCCCUGGGAAUCCCGUUAGAUUCGGGAGCUGCCGCGCAACUGUGAUCGGGACGAAACCCGGCGAAGCCACUAUCUCACCCUUGAUGGGGAGACGGGAAGGGCCGGGGAGUAGGUUCGGACCGCGAGCCAGGAGACCGGCGCCGGAGGAAGCCACCCGU